rnacentral:rRNA from 1 species
CCAGACUCCACGGGAGGCAGCAGUAGGGAAUCUUCCGCAAUGGGCGAAAGCCUGACGGAGCAACGCCGCGUGAGUGAUGAAGGUCUUCGGAUCGUAAAACUCUGUUAUUAGGAAGAACAUAUGUGUAAGUAACUGUGCACAUCUUGACGGUACCUAAUCAGAAAGCCACGGCUAACUACGUGCCAGCAGCCGCGGUAAUACGUAGGUGGCAAGCGUUAUCCGGAAUUAUUGAGCGUAGAGCGCGCGUAGGCGGUUAUUUAAGUCUGAGUGAAAGCCCACGGCUCAACCGUGGAGGGUCAUUGGAAACUGGAAAACUUGAGUGCAGAAGAGGAAAGUGGAAUUCCAUGUGUAGCGGUGAAAUGCGCAGAGAUAUGAGGAACACCAGUGGCGAAGGCACUUUCUGGUCUGUAACUGACGCUGAUGUGCGAAAGCGUGGGGAUCAAACAGGAUUAGAUACCCUGGUAGUCCACGCCGUAAACGAUGAGUGCUAAGUGUUAGGGGGUUUCCGCACCUUAGUGCUGCAGCUAACGCAUUAAGCACUCCGCCUGGGAGUACGACCGCAAGGUUGAAACUCAAAGGAAUUGACGGGACCCGCACAAGCGGUGGAGCAUGUGGUUUAAUUCGAAGCAACGCGAAGAACCUUACCAAAUCUUGACAUCCUUGACAACUCUAGAGAUAGAGCCUUCCCCUUCGGGGGACAAAGUGAUAGGUGGUGCAUGGUUGUCGUCAGCUCGUGUCGUGGAUGUUGGGUUAAGUCCCGCAACGAGCGCAACCCAUAAGCUUAGUUGCCAUCAUUAAGUUGGGCACUCUAGUUGACUGCCGGUGACAAACCGGAGGAAGG